AGAAGGAGAAUCUGGGGUGGGACAGGCAGAGACCAGGCCAGGCCCAUGGCUAUAGGGCAGCAGGCAAGAGUCUCAGCUGGAAGUGUCCUCACUGGCUGUCCUCAUGUGUCCAGGAGCAUGUCCCAGGGUCACAGCAGGAAGAUGCCACCCUCAUCAGCACCAGAUCUCAGCUGGUCCUGAGUCCCAGCAGCCAAAACUCCUUCCACCCAUGAGCCAAAACUUCCACCACCUUCCUGGUGCACCCUGGGUUGGCAGUAGAAGCAGUAAUAAAGCAAUACUUUAAUUUUCCAAGUAGUUAAGUGACACUAAAUCUGGUAUUACACUCUUCAAUGCCUCUCCCUGCAGUGUCUGAGAAACUGCAGAUCUCAGCCAAGAACAGUAAUGGGAGUUCGCAGGCAAUACAACUGUGCUGUGGAAAUUAAGAAAAGAGAUGGGCUGAAACAGGAUCAGAACACCAAACAAGUAAAGGAUGUGGAUCUGUUAGAGUGAGUCCAGAGAAGAGCACUAAGAUCAGAAGGCUGGAGCACCUCCCCUAGAAAGACAGGCUGAGAAAGUUGUGGCUAUUCAGCCCAGAGAAGAGAAGGCUCUGGGGAGAGCUGAGAACAGCCUUCCAGCACCUAAAGUGCCUAUAUGGGAGAUAGAGAGGGCCAUUUUACAACAGCAUGUAGUGAUACGACAAGGUAGAAUGGCUUCAAACUGAAAGAGGGUAAUUUUAGAUUCUAUAUUAGGAGGAAAUACUUUACUAUGACAGUGAUGAGACACCAGCAGAAGACUCAGAGAAGUUGUGGAUGUCCCUUCCGUGGAAGUGUUCAGGGCCAGAUUGAACCAGGCUACAAGCAACUUGUUCUAAUGAAAAACAUCCCUGCCCAUGGCAGCGGUUUAGAAUUAGAUGGUUUCUAAGGUCCCUUCCAACCAAACCUAUGAUUCUAUGGUUCCAUGAUUGUGUUUCAUGGAUUCUGUUGCAACCACCAUCAGCAGACGAUCAGUGCUGGAGUCUGGGGACUUUGGAUCUCUGUUCAUAUGCUGUUUGCAUAAAGGCAUAAUUUGAAAAUAUCUUGUUCAUUGGCUAUAUGAGUAACUGAGAGAUCUUAAGCCACCAAAGUAAAUAACAUUCUUAGACCAUGUCUCCAAGAGCAAGAGGACAAUCAAAGGAUUAAGCAGCUACAAGGGGUGCUGUGUGAGUGUGAGCUGGAGGUAGUAAUAACUUAUGUCUAUUAGCAAGAAUGCCCUUAAAGAAAGAAUGAGAAUCAAUGGACUCAAGGAAUUAAUGGACCUGUCAGUUGUCUGAACAUCUCUAAGAGCCAUGAUCUAGACAAGUGACCAGAGAUAAUGGAAGGAGAGAAAAAUAAAGUCACCAGAGAGAAGAAACUGAAGUCUCUUCUGAAGUAUUUCAACUUUUUUCUUCCUUUCUUCUUUUAUACUGUGUUGUUUUUCUGCUUUUGUCUCUUGACUAUUUGUUGUAAUUUAGUUCAAAUUACUAACCUGUUUACCACAAUUAAUACAGGUUACUAUAAUUAAAUUGUGAGAGGAUCACGUAUUUUUGUUUCUCAGGCACUCAAUAAA